rnacentral:rRNA from 1 species
UGCGUAGGUGGCGCGCUAAGUCAGGUGUGAAAUCUCGGGGCUUAACUCCGAAACUGCAUUUGAUACUGGCGUGCUUGAGGACUGGAGAGGAGACUGGAAUUCACGGUGUAGCAGUGAAAUGCGUAGAUAUCGUGAGGAAGACCAGUGGCGAAGGCGGGUCUCUGGACAGUUCCUGACACUGAGGCACGAAGGCCAGGGGAGCAAAC